GGGCCCGCACAAGCGGUGGAGUAUGUGGUUUAAUUCGAUGCAACGCGAAGAACCUUACCAGGUCUUGACAUCCUCGGAAUUUGGCAGAGAUGCCUUAGUGCCUUCGGGAGCCGAGUGACAGGUGCUGCAUGGCCGUCGUCAGCUCGUGUCGUGAGAUGUUGGGUUAAGUCCCGUAACGAGCGCAACCCUUGUCCUUAGUUGCCAGCACGUCAUGGUGGGAACUCUAGGGAGACUGCCGGUGACAAACCGGAGGAAGGUGGGGACGACGUCAGGUCAUCAUGGCCCUUACGACCUGGGCUACACACGUGCUACAAUGGCUGGUACAGAGGGUUGCGAAGUCGCGAGGCGAAGCUAAUCCCUUAAAGCCAGUCGUAGUCCGGAUCGGAGUCUGCAACUCGACUCCGUGAAGUCGGAAUCGCUAGUAAUCGCGGAU
rnacentral:rRNA from 1 species